rnacentral:rRNA from 1 species
CAGUUAAAAAGCUCGUAGUUGGAGUUCAGAGUGAGCUCAGCCGGUCGGGAUUAUGUCUCAGAACUGGUUGACUCUCUCCUGUUUGUGGAUCCUGUUCGGAGUUAACUCUUCGGAUGUGGAGUCCACAUCGUUUACCUUGAAAAAAUUAGAGUGUUCAAAGCAGGCGUUUGCUUGAAUAUAUUAGCAUGGAAUAAUGGAAUAGGACGCUGGUUCUAUUUUGUUGGUUUUGAGAACCAGAGUAAUGAUUAAUAGGGACAGUUGGGGGCAUUCAUAUUUCAUUGUCAGAGGUGAAAUUCUUGGAUUUAUGAAAGAUGAACUUCUGCGAAAGCAUUUGCCAAGGAUGUUUUCAUUAAUCAAGAACGAAAGUUAGGGGAUCGAAGACGAUCAGAUACCGUCGUAGUCUUAACCAUAGACUAUGCCGACUAGGGAUUGGGCGUGGUUUGUUCAUUGACCCGCUCAGCACCUUACGAGAAAUCAAAGUCUUUGGGUUCCGGGGGGAGUAUGGUCGCAAGGCUGAAACUUAAAGGAAUUGACGGAAGGGCACCACCAGGAGUGGAGCCUGCGGCUUAAUUUGACACAACACGGGAAAACUCACCAGGUCCGGACAUAGUAAGGAUUGACAGAUUGACAGCUCUUUCU